rnacentral:rRNA from 1 species
CCCUAUGGCCAUAUCACCCUGAACGCACCCGAUCUCGUCUGAUCUGGGAAGCUAAGCAGGGUCGCGCCUGGUUAGUACUUGGAUGGGAGAAAAAGGCAUCAAACCCUGGCCUCUGGAGACC